GACGAAUGCUGGCUGCGUGCUUAACACAUGCAAGUCGAACGGUGAAGGAGGGCUUGCCCUCCGGAUCAGUGGCGAACGGGUGAGUAACACGUGGGCAACCUGCCCCUCACUCUGGGAUAACGCCGGGAAACCGGCGCUAAUACCGGAUACGACCAGGCGCGACAUCUCGCCUGGUGGAAAGAAUUUCGGUGAGGGAUGGGCCCGCGGCCUAUCAGCUUGUUGGUGGGGUAACGGCCCACCAAGGCGACGACGGGUAGCCGGCCUGAGAGGGCGACCGGCCACACUGGGACUGAGACACGGACCAGACUCCUACGGGAGGCAGCAGUGGGGAAUAUUGCGCAAUGGGCGAAAGCCUGACGCAGCGACGCAGCGUGAGGGACGAAGGCCUUCGGGUUGUAAACCUCUUUCAGCGGGGACGAAGCGAAAGUGACGGUACCCGCAGAAGAAGCACCGGCUAACUACGUGCCAGCAGCCGCCGUAAAAC
rnacentral:rRNA from 1 species